GACGAACCGUGCGAACGUUGUUCGGAAUCACUGGGCUUAAAGGGCGCGUAGGCGGGCUACCAAGUCUGUGGUGAAAUCCUCCCGCUUAACGGGAGAACGGCCGUGGAUACUGGGAGCCUCGAGGGAGAUAGGGGCAGGCGGAACUGAUGGUGGAGCGGUGAAAUGCGUUGAUAUCAUCAGGAACUCCGGUGGCGAAGGCGGCCUGCUGGAUCUCAUCUGACGCUGAGGCGCGAAAGCCAGGGGAGCAAACGGG
rnacentral:rRNA from 1 species